rnacentral:rRNA from 1 species
UACAGAGGGUGCAAGCGUUAAUCGGAAUUACUGGGCGUAAAGCGUGCGCAGGCGGUUUUGUAAGCCAGAUGUGAAAUCCCCGGGCUUAACCUGGGAACUGCAUUUGGGACUGCAAGGCUAGAGUGUGUCAGAGGGGGGUGGAAUUCCGCGUGUAGCAGUGAAAUGCGUAGAGAUGCGGAGGAACACCGAUGGCGAAGGCG